rnacentral:lncRNA from 1 species
CAAAAUGUGGCCUUACCAGUUACAAAGACAUGACUAUCAAAAGCAAGCAGGUCUUUCCAGCCAUCUGCUCGGCAGGAAGGAGGACGGCUUGAUUAAGAUUGCACAUCCACUUCAGCUGGUGGCUUAAUCAGCCCCAAACCUAAAAGAGCUUUCACAGCUCCUUCUGCUCUUCCCCAAACCCCUCCUGUGGGGUCACCUGGUGAUGGUCUGGCUGGGCUCAGCUUGUGGACUAGGAUAUCACAGGACACAUGGAGUAACCACGAUUCAAUUGGGUUCUGGAGAUGGGUACCAGUCCUGCCAUCAGUCAGAGAUCUGUGGCCGUCUUUAUGCAGACCAACCCA